rnacentral:rRNA from 1 species
UUUCGGGUUGUAAAGUACUUUCAGCAGUGAGGAAGGAGGUAUCGUUAAUAGCGGUAUCUUUUGACGUUAGCUGCAGAAGAAGCACCGGCUAACUCCGUGCCAGCAGCCGCGGUAAUACGGAGGGUGCGAGCGUUAAUCGGAAUUACUGGGCGUAAAGCGCAUGCAGGUGGUUUGUUAAGUCAGAUGUGAAAGCCCGGGGCUCAACCUCGGAAUUGCAUUUGAAACUGGCAGGCUAGAGUACUGUAGAGGGGGGUAGAAUUUCAGGUGUAGCGGUGAAAUGCGUAGAGAUCUGAAGGAAUACCGGUGGCGAAGGCGGCCCCCUGGACAGAUACUGACACUCAGAUGCGAAAGCGUGGGGAGCAAACAGGAUUAGAUACCCUGGUAGUCCACGCCGUAAACGAUGUCUACUUGGAGGUUGUGGCCUUGAGCCGUGGCUUUCGGAGCUAACGCGUUAAGUAGACCGCCUGGGGAGUACGGUCGCAAGAUUAAAACUCAAAUGAAUUGACGGGGGCCCGCACAAGCGGUGGAGCAUGUGGUUUAAUUCGAUGCAACGCGAAGAACCUUACCUACUCUUGACAUCCAGAGAACUUAGCAGAGAUGCUUUGGUGCCUUCGGGAACUCUGAGACAGGUGCUGCAUGGCUGUCGUCAGCU